CUGGUGCUGCUCGCAGGCAAUGGCCACGCUGGGAGCAACUUAGGAAAUAAGGGCAGGAGAAAGGACAAUACUGUUUAUGUCACACAGGUUUUAAAAACUACAAUUAACAUGGAUGCCAGCUCGUGAAGAAGGAUGUUUCAUCUCUCCAAAGAAGGAGAAUUAAGGUAGCAAAACGAUGAUGUGAUCAAGAGGAGAUUUCUGUCAAGACAAUCCUCAUAGUGAGGAGGGCCAAUGUCUAGAACUUCUACUGGAAGACUGACAUCA